AAGCUGUGAUGUGGGCACUUUCUCAAUAAAUCUUUGAAUCUGUCCCAAGCUUCGUACAAACUUUCUUGAUCACAGUGGACAAAAGUCAUUAUCUCAUUGCACAGUUU
rnacentral:snoRNA from 1 species